AUCACUUCUCAGCCUUUUGGGUAAGAUCAAGCACAGUAUCUGUUCUUAUCAGUUUAAUAUCUGAUUCAUCCUCUAUCCGAGGAAUUAUAUUAAAUGUAUCUUUGGAGCAGGGAAAGAGAAUAGGAGUUUGCUCCGUCUAUUCCAUACAUCGACGAGGUAUAUAGUACCUCCAGGAAUGGUGCACAACAA